rnacentral:rRNA from 1 species
ACGUAGGGAGCGAGCGUUGUCCGGAAUUACUGGGCGUAAAGGGCGCGUAGGCGGCGCUUCAAGUCGUCUGUCAAAAGCCGAGGCUCAACCUCGGUGCGCAGACGAAACUGGAGAGCUUGAGAAGCAGAGAGGCAAACAGAAUUCCUGGUGUAGCGGUGAAAUGCGUAGAUAUCAGGAAGAAUACCAGUGGCGAAGGCGGUUUGCUGGCUGCAUACUGACGCUGAAGCGCGAAAGCCAGGGGAGCAAACGG